rnacentral:tRNA from 1 species
GGGCAGUUACCAAAGUGGACAAAUGGGACUGACUGUAAAUCAGUUGCGCAAGCUUCGAAGGUUCGAAUCCUCCACUGCCCACCA